CGGGCCUGGAGCCGCGGCGGGCCCGGGGCCUGCGGGCCGGGGGCAGCACUGACCUCAGGCCGCGGUCCUCUCUAGGAUGUUUCUGGUUGGUGCACCUCAUGGGCUGCAGUCCUGGACCUGUCUGGACAAUAGGGGAUUAUCAUCCCUGUAGACCCCUGAAGGUCUGUGCUUUUGCAGAUCCUGCUUUGCAAGGAAAUAAAUUUUCUUCAAAAAGGAA